rnacentral:lncRNA from 1 species
ACACAGGGUAACAGUGCUGAGCCAUACCCCAGCCCUUUCAUGGGCAUUGCUCUGACUUCUGGCAGCCUCAGGAGGAAGACUGGAUCACAGGGACUCAGAACUGGAGGGUACCUCACCUGUCACCCGGACCCAGCAGCCACCCUGGACAAACAUUCUUUGUGUGGAGUCUCGCGCCUCGGCUAUCUGUACACCAUGGGGAUGGCCUCUGUCUACCUCACCCUUCUUUAGUGCGUGCAGAAGUCAGAGCUGGGCUCCUCCUCCUGGAUUCACAGAAUCCCGCUCCCCUGUCCCUGGAGCUCCUUCUGAGUUUCCGAGUUUCCGACUGCUGUCCCAGGGACGCUGAGGUCCCUGCUGUGAUCUGCUGAGCUGGUAGGAAUGCGGCUUGGAAGUCCAUCAACUGUCUGAGCCACUGCCCACCUGAAAUCUGAGAUAUUUGUCACAUAAAUGGAGGCUCC